GAUGAACGCUGGCGGCGUGCUUAACACAUGCAAGUCGAACGAAGCAUUUAGGACAGAUUACUUCGGUUUGAAGUUCUUUAUGACUGAGUGGCGGACGGGUGAGUAACGCGUGGGUAACCUGCCUUGUACUGGGGGAUAGCAGUUGGAAACGGCUGGUAAUACCGCAUAAGCGCACAAUGUUGCAUGACAUGGUGUGAAAAACUCCGGUGGUAUAAGAUGGACCCGCGUCUGAUUAGCUAGUUGGUGAGAUAACAGCCCACCAAGGCGACGAUCAGUAGCCGACCUGGGAGGGUGACCGGCCACAUUGGGACUGGGCCCCGGCCCAGACUCCUACGGGAGUCAGCAGGGGGGAAUAUUGAACAAUGGAGGAAACUCUGAUGCGGCGAGGCCGCGUGAGUGAAGAAUUAUUUCGUAAUGUAAGGCUCUAUCAGCAGGGAAGAUGGUAACGGUCCUGGACUAGGAAGUCCCGCCAAAUUCCGU
rnacentral:rRNA from 1 species